CACGCAUACACAUAUUAUGGUUUGUGGUUUAAGUUAGUACUGCAUAUAUUGGCCUCUUUUAUUUUAUCUCCAAUAUUAUUUUCCAGAGUAAUUGCCUUUAUUGGUUCUGUAAAAGUCUGCUUUUUUUUGAUUUCUUGCAUGUGGAAUGGUUCCAUAUGUAUAUUGACAUGGGUCUCAAUAUUGUGUAGCCAAACUUAUUGACAUAAUUGAUCACUCAUUUCAGAAAGUGCCCCAUGUGGGCUUUCAGUUUAGUUUUGAGGGUAUUUUCAGACUGAACAAAUUAGUACAAUUGUAGAACUUGAAACCAGACUAGAUUGAACUGUAAAACAAAUUGAACCAAAAUUAUUUGGUCAUGUCUGGUUUUCAAACCCUACUAUUAUAUGUAUUCACAAUAUCACAAAAUAUCAUAAUUGCCAUGCAAAUAUAUGUUCAUAUGUAUUCACGAAAUGCAUUAGAUUUAUAAUUUUCUAGUAUCUGAUCGAACAAAUAUAUGGUUCUGUUCAGUGCAGUUUGGGUGGUUUUUCAAAAUUGGCAUCCUAAACUGAACAAAAUUAGUUUUACUAGCAUUUGGUUUUUGAACUUUCUUAACCCAGACAAAAAUCAAUUCUUUCUGCAAAAUUGACAGAGAAACCAAUACUCCUUUGUCAGGGAAUUUGUAUGUGUCGUAGUAAGAAUAUUAAGAAGCUUUCAGUUUGAAUAAAGUCAUUUGUGAACUGAUGCUUUUGGUGAUGCAGACGGCAUGUCUCCUAUUUCUGCAUCAUUCAGCAAGCAGGCUUCGUGUUGCCAGCUCCUCUCCAUCUAUAGCGCCCUGCCAUUGUUACCCAGAUGGAGAGUUCAUUCAACAACUCCAUAUACGAAGAUAAUGUGCAAGCCGGUCUUCUCGAUUGGGCUACCCAUGCAAAGAAGAACAAGAUAGUGCAAUCAGCAGACAGUGUGUCGAUAUUGCAAGAAACCGAGAUAACAUGGGGAGGGAGGCGAGCUGAGAUCACUGAAACAUAGCUUUUAUAUUAUCUCUAUGAAUCCAACUUUACUGCA